GCGGUACCGGUUCCCGCCAUGAGUUCACUGGCGACCCGGCGACC
rnacentral:ncRNA from 1 species